rnacentral:rRNA from 2 species
AUGAACAUCGACAUUUCGAACGCACAUUGCGGUCCUCGGAUACUGUUCCCGGACCACUCCUGGCUGAGGGUCGUAU